rnacentral:rRNA from 1 species
AUGGCGGUUUUUGAGGCUUUCUACCGGCUGGCUGGCGGCGAUUUUGCAGCCCUCAACCGAGCAAUCAUCGUGUUGCUGCCAAAGCAAUCCGGUGCAACAAAAUUGACUGAUUUCCGCCCAAUAAGCCUCAUCCACUAUGGCCAAACUGAUCGCGAAGGUUCUAUCCAUCAGGCUUGUUGGCGUCCUGGAUCAACUGGUUUCCCCCGCCCAGAGCGCUUUUCAGAAGAAAAAAGGGAUACAUGA